rnacentral:tRNA from 1 species
CGGCGCUGAGCGGCACGGCCCUGUUCACCCUCGCCCUCGCCGACGGGACGGCGACGAUCGUCGCCGGAUACGCGCUGCUCGGCGGAGCGGGCGCCGG